rnacentral:rRNA from 1 species
GACGAACGCUGGCGGCGUGCCUAAUACAUGCAAGUAGAACGCUGAAGGAGGAGCUUGCUUCUCUGGAUGAGUUGCGAACGGGUGAGUAACGCGUAGGUAACCUGCCUGGUAGCGGGGGAUAACUAUUGGAAACGAUAGCUAAUACCGCAUAAGAGUAGAUGUCGCAUGACAUUUGCUUAAAAGGUGCAAUUGCAUCCCUACCAGAUGGACCUGCGUUGUAUUAGCUAGUUGGUGAGGUAACGGCUCACCAAGGCAACGAUACAUAGCCGACCUGAGAGGGUGAUCGGCCACACUGGGACUGAGACACGGCCCAGACUCCUACGGGAGGCAGCAGUAGGGAAUCUUCGGCAAUGGACGGAAGUCUGACCGAGCAACGCCGCGUGAGUGAAGAAGGUUUUCGGAUCGUAAAGCUCUGUUGUAAGAGAAGAACGAGUGUGAGAGUGGAAAGUUCACACUGUGACGGUAUCUUACCAGAAAGGGACGGCUAACUACGUG